rnacentral:lncRNA from 10 species
AGACGCUGGGCCCUGGGAACCACUACCAUCAAGACGCGGAGACCGGUAGUGGCCCCGAACGGCUGGUUGCGCUGAUAUUUAUUGCAUACAAGACAAGGGGGCAGGGUAAGGAGGGUGAAUCUUCUAAGUGAUUGACAAGGUGCAGCAAGUCACGUGAUCACAGGACGGGAGGGCCCUUCCCUUUUAGGUAGCCGAAGUAGAGACAGAAGGCAGCAUACGUCAGCGUUUUCUUCUAUGCACUGAUAAGAAAGAUCAAAGACUUUAGACUUUCACUAUUUCAUCUACCGCUCUGUACUACGAACUUCAAAGAGGAACCAGGAGUACGGGAGGAACAUGAAAGUGGACAAGGAGCGUGAGCAUUGAAGCACAGCCCCACAGGGAGGGGUUUAGGCCUCCGGAUGACUGCGGGGAGGCCUGGAUAAUAUCCAGCCUUCCACAAGAAGCUGCUGGAGCAGAGUGUUCCCUGACUCCUCCAAGGAAAGGACACUCCUUUUCGCGAUCUGCUAAGUGAUGGGUGUCUUCCCAGGCACUAGCGUUACCGCUUGACCAAGGAGCCCUCAAGCGGCCCUUAUGCGAGCGUGACAGAAGGUUCACCUCUUGCCUUCUAGGUCACUUCUCACAAUGUCCCUUCAUCACCUGACCCUAUACCUGCCGGUUAUUCGUAGGUUAUAUUAGUAAUG